AUGGCGGAGGAGGGGAGGUCUCUGGCGGAGACGCCGACGUGGUCGGUUGCCACGGUCACCACGCUCAUGGUCGCCGCAUGCUUCCUCAUCGAGCGCUCGCUCUCACGCCUCGCCAAGUGGCUGCGGAAGACGAAGCGGAAGGCCAUGCUCGCCGCACUCGAGAAGAUCCGCGAAGAACUGAUGCUGCUUGGCGUGAUAUCACUGCUGCUGAGCCAGACGGCCAGGUGGAUAUCAGAGAUCUGCGUGCCAUCGACACUCUUCACCAGCAAAUUCUAUAUGUGCACAGAGAAAGAUUUCGCCGAUCUGGACCAUCAUGGGGAUGGCACUGCUAACGACACCCACAUUGCUAGAAUCCUAGUUGGCGGUCAGUCGAUGCAUGUUUGCGAUGAGGGUCAUGAACCUUUUGUUUCAUAUGAGGGUCUUGAGCAGCUGCAUCGUUUUCUGUUUAUUCUUGGUUUUACUCAUGUGCUUUACAGUUUCGUGACAGUGGUUCUGUCGAUGAUUAAGAUAUAUAGCUGGAGGAAGUGGGAAACUCAAGCAUGUACACUCUCAAGGGAGCAGUUGCAACCUAGGAGAAAGGUUAUGCGAAGGCAAUCUACCUUUGUUUUCCAUCAUGCAUCUCACCCAUGGAGCAAAAGUAAAAUACUUCUUUGGAUGUUGUGCUUUCUGCGCCAAUUUAAGGGUUCUAUUAAAAAAUCAGAUUACAUGGCAUUAAGGUUGGGCUUUAUCACAUAUCAUAAGUUGCCGCAUUCGUAUGACUUCCACAAAUACAUGGUACGGAGCAUGGAAGAUGAUUACAAUGGAAGUGUUGGUAUCAGUUGGCCACUUUGGGCUUAUGCAAUAAUAUGCAUCUUUGUCAAUGUUCAUGGUCUUAAUAUAUAUUUCUGGCUAUCAUUUGCCCCUGUCAUUAUCGUCCUGCUUGUGGGCACUGAGCUGCAGCAUGUUGUGGCUCAGUUGGCACUGGAGGUUGUUGAGGCAACAGCCACAAAUGUUGGAACACAACUGAAACUGCGGGAUGAUCUCUUCUGGUUUGGAAAACCUCGGGUUCUGUGGUGGCUUAUACAGUUCAUCUCGUUCCAGAAUGCCUUUGAGAUGGCGACAUUCUUAUGGUCUCUGUGGGAACUGAGUGCAAAUUCUUGCUUCAUGAAGAACCAGUACAUGGUUGUUAUUCGCUUGGCUUCUGGGCUGCUUGUUCAAAUUUGGUGCAGCUACAGUACACUGCCUCUUAACGUGAUUAUCUCCCAGAUGGGUUCCAAGUUCAAGAAGUCACUGGUCUCCGAGAGCGUGAGGGACUCCCUCCACAGCUGGUGCAAGAGGAUCAAAGACAGGAGGCACAACCCGCUCUUCAUGCGGAACGGGACACUCACGUCGAGGUCGGUCUGCUCCCUCGGCACGCUGUCGAGGACUGUGUCGGCGUCGUCCCUGGAUGAGGCGCUGACUGUGGUCACUGUCGACGACGAGGAGGAGAUCUCUCACAUCGAGCAAGAUAUUCGACACCCUUAG
rnacentral:rRNA from 1 species